GGUCACACCAUCCCCCACCAUCAUCAGAGUGAAGUCCUCUGGGAUUAUAAUUUUGAUGAGUAUAAAGAGGAGUAUGGAGUGAUGGAGGACUUUUCAGAUGAAUACAAGAACAUGAUGGAGCCACCAAAUACCAAGAACCCACCAGAGAGAUGUCCCUAUCUUCUCUAUUCCCCGGAUACCACACAGGAAGGUCACACCAUCCCCCACUGUUACAAGAGUGGAGAUCCAAUCGAUAUAGAAUUUGAGGUGAAAUCAG